CUCUUAAAUGCAGGUGUAUCAGGUGUACAAAUAAUGUGGGACCAAGGGAGCAUGGUAACCCCUUUCCUUUUGCACCUUUCCCAUUCCUCUGGCAUGUUGGAGUUCUGUACAACAGGGUCUCUCAGGGAAGUUAACCCCUUUCCCUGGUGAAGCAUAUUUACUGCCCAAAAUAAGCUGGGGAGGUUAGCUUGCCCACAGGUUACAGUUGACUUUCAGAUUACCUUGCAGUGCAUUUGGGGACAGAGGGGGAUAGAUGUGCUGCUUGCUUUUUUCUAACCGCCUCCUAUACUAGAAUACUUAGAGCUCUUGGCCCAGUGGUGGCAUAAAACCGCAGAGGGGAAGACAGCUAUGCAAAAGGAUGUGCCAGGCAUUCCUGUGUAGUUUAUCACUUAAUACCUUCUGCAGGCUCAGGGAUUUACUUCUGUUUUCCUUCCGUUUUCCCUGGGCUCCUGUGAUCACGUCAGCCCAGGCUCUGCCAGGUGGACCAGAGUUUGUUUGGGAAGCUGUCAGUCUUGGCAGCAGUCUUGCUCUUGAGAAGGGUGGGAGAGGUUGAAAGUGCACAGAUAGGUCAGGUGAACACACAUCAGCUCUGUGAAGUGUUGACAGACAUACUUUGCUGUUCAGUGUACAAAAUCCUACUCAGCAUGUUUCCGCUGUCAGGAUAAGAAAUCACUGUUGUCAUAUGUUGUCACCUGGAAACAAGGCCAGAGAUUUCAGCAGACAAAAGGAGUCCAGUUACGGAACAUGGGAAGUAAAUAGGAAAGCCAUGUACCUGUGUCUCCGCUAAAGGACAGGGUAAAGCCUCCCCUCUUUCUGUGGCCAGCCUUGCCCUCGCCGAAGGGGAGAGGAAGCCAGCGGUGAGCAGGUUCGGCAGGCACUGCGGAUUUCAGAGGGCAGGCGGUUGAAAAGGGAAGGGCUGCUGGUUCCCUUUCACCUGAGCACAGGCCUCCCAGGGGCCUUGCAGGGUGUGAAGGGCUUUUGUGUGGCUGGGCAGCAGUUUAGAGGGAGAGCACACUCAGAAGCCGUAGCUGUACCUUUGUUUGUAUUCCUGUGCUGGUGAGAGUAGGUUUAUUUUUACCUUAGUGGCUUUUAUUGCAUCGCAGCAGGCUUCAGCAGCAUUUGUUCUGCAAAGGGGUUCUUUGCUGUAGGCUUGCAUACCCUUAAUACAAUGAAGUGUUCAUCUGUGUAAGCAGUGCUGGAAUGGAAAGUAGAACACCAGGAUUUAUCUAGAUACUUGGAAUCUUAAGCUUUUAAAUCAUUAACAAAGCAGUCUGAAAAGCUGUGCAAUUUCCCCCCACAGCAGGGGCAGGGGGAAGAUACUGAAUUAGCCCUAUGAUGUGAUAGGGUCAUUAGAAACUAUAUCGUGAAGCAAGCUCACUGUUGUUGGAGAAAAAAGGCAGCAAAGUUCAGAGCAAAUAACGUUUUUCUCCUGUAUAUUAUUUUUAUUCUAUUUUAAGGGAAAAAUUCCACAUGUUACAAUGUUACAGUGCUCUCCCCCAUGCCUUUGAUGCACCAUACAUUACAUACUUCAUCAAACAAAGCAAGGCCGCCUGUGAACACCUAUCUCAUGUGUAGCUCUGUUGGCCAGAUGCAUGUAUGCAUGGAGGCAUGCAUCAUGUCUGGCCUGCUACUAACCGUGCACAUGGCAGUACUUGUUUUCUUUUUUUCUUCUUUUUUUCCUUCUUCAGUCUAGUCCUGCCUGAUCCCUGCUCUUGGAGCUAUCACAGUCACUUUUAACUAUAGGAUGCACAAUAUGAGGUUUCAGCUUGGAAGAGUCAAAAUUAGUUUGCACUGUAACAAUCAGCUCCAGUGCCAGGAUAAGAAUCACUUCUCAGCCAUGCUUCAAUUUCCUUUCUCCAGCUGCUUAACCACCAGAUUCCUGUAAGCUCCGGUCCUUUGCCUUGCUCUCCAAGUGCCUGAAAGUAAUCCUGCAAGCUGACACAGGUUGUCAUAUGUAAAAGGCCCUUUCCAUCUAGGCAAGGGCAAUGUUAUCAGCCUGAUACAUGAAGAAUUCUGCAUUUUAAAUGCUUCUAAAAACAGAUAGACCAGAACUAAUCUUAGCGGCAGCCUGAGUGCCAACAUACGUCACAUAAUUCAGCUUUAUCACGGUAGAAAUCAUACAAGGUAAAAAGAUGUUUGGAAUCAGCUUGCCGUAUUGAUUUAUACUAACUGGCCUUUGUUCAGCUUUUUGGAUUUUUACUCAUCUCAUGAGUUGUGACCUGCCAAGAACAAGGUCAGGUUUACAGUCAGUUGUAGCUCCAAUAACUUCCUGCGCUAACUAAGUGAGGAUUCUGUAGGUAUGUGAAGGGCUAAGCAGGAACUUUUGGCCAAGAUGCUGGAGUCACACACACAAAAAAAGUGUUUUGGCUGUCAUCCAGGGAUGUUAUCAUGCCCCAAGGAGGCUGUUUAAUCCCAUUUAUGGGACCCUGCAGUUUUAUUGGGUGAAUCAGUGGGAGUAAGUGAAUUUUGUAACUGCAGCUUCAUGCAAUGCUCAACAGGUAAAAAUAGACACUGGGGGAAAAAAAAAACAGUUCCAGCAUAUCUGAGGAAGAGAAAAUGGGACAAUAGGCUUUAUUACAAGAUGACUGCUGAGAGUAUUCCAGGAAAGGAAUAUUACCUAAAGCUUUAAAAAAAAAAAAAAAAACACAAACCAAAAAAACAAAAAAAAGAAACUCGCCAAUAAAACCCCUAAACUUACUGAAGAAGACUUUGGCAAAACCAGGGAACACUAGAUGGGUCUCAGCUGCUCUGGCGUUUCUGGUCACUUUACCUGUGAUUGCAAUGGCUUAUUUUCAGUGAAAGAAAAGCAGGGGGGUUGUGGGGCCCAAGCAUAGGGAGCAAGGUGCGGGAAAGGUGUAAGCUGAAAGUCACAACACGUACAUCUGAGCUUCUCAUCAGUUUAUUAAGUUGCAUCAUCCUUGACAAGCUUUUCACUCCAGGGGAAAAAAAAAACGACAAAAAAACUUCGAAUGAAAAGAUUAAGACAUUGCCAUUGGCCUAUGUCAACACUUCACAAAUAGAUCUGAUUAUUCAGUUUGAACUACCUGUUUUGAAAUUUGCACUUAAUUCCUAAUAAAUGUUUACAGCCUGUGAAGUUUACCAUUUGACCUUUCAGUCAACAGUCUGGAUAGGAAUUUUUUUUUUUUUCCAGGAUGCAGAAAUAAUUUCCCCAGUUCCUGCUGAAGUCUGUGGUAAACUAUCACUAGCUAAACAAUCAGCAGAGAUGCAAAAGUGAGAAAGACUUGUCCUCUUGCCAGCCUGUUUGCUGUGCCAUGGCUUUGCUUAGAGCUUGGGAAAAGACAAGUCAACAGAAUAGCCAAACUCUGGGCUAGCAGAAUAAGUUGUUUAGCACAAAUGGAACAAAUAUGAGCUAUUUUUGGACCUUUUUAGAUACUAAAGUGGAUUAUGCAGCAUACCUGUUUUGGUUUGAUUGUGUAGCUUAUCAGAUACUUAUUGACAGCUGUCAUUUGCAAGCUGGGCCUGAAGUACAUUAAAACAGCCACCUGCACAAGGCAAAAUUCAAUACAAUUAUAUUUAAGUGAAAAAAAAAAAGCAACAACUGAAAACAAACUUGGAUUAACCCCAGGAUUCUUUGCCAUGGAAACAGGUUGCUUAGAAACUACCCCAGAGUUAGUUUGAAAAUGUAAAAGUCAAGUUGUUCUCUAAGCUCCACAGCACUCCAGGUUAUCAGGAGAUAAUCACACGCCUCAGGCCAUUACGGGCACUAGAGGCAGUGGAGUUCUCCAGGGAGCAGUUGUUCUCUGGAGGGUUGCUCUCUCCAGAGCAGCUGGUUGGGAAGAAGUGGGAGAGCAGAGUAUCUUUGCUGUGAAUAUAAGAGGUAAAGUUGUGCAUCUGCUGGAGAAGCAGGAAGCAGCUGAAUAGUAUUCCCUGUUCCCAUGUUUACUUCACAGUGAUUCAUCUUGCUUGCCCGGUCCUAUCCACCCCAGCCAUGAGGACUGAGGGUUGUUUCUAUGCAGCAGCCCACCAUAAGCUUGGGGAAGCCACUGGGACCUGCUGUUUGCUGGCAGGCAGGCAGCCGCACGCUCACACUGUCAUGGCCAAAUGAGCACCAGGAGAGCACUGGCAGCUGGCAGGGCUUAGAGGGCUGCUGCAGGGAUGUUGGCAGGUGCAAGCGCUAGACCCUGCCCCAGCGAGCCUGCCUGCACUUUACUCUAUCUGGCACUCGGGUCAGGACAGUCCCCCCUUUCCCAGUCAGGAGAGCUGCAAUAUCAAAGCCAGGGGAACAGAGAGCCUCACAAGCUCACCUGCACCUGGCCAUCCCCCAGAAAGAAGGCACAUUGCCGAUGCAGUUAUUGCCAAGCACAGCUAUCACUUUGGAGCAAGUUCACGCUGGGUUCCUCUGGAGCAGACAGAUAGCACUACAGGCACCUUCAGGAGGGGACACUGCCAACAGCUUGCAAUGAUAACACCUUCCCUCAUUGCUGUUCAGAGACCUGCACUGAGAGACAGGCAAGUGGUUGAUGGCAAACAAGCAAAAGCAACAACUUUGGCUGCUCAUGGAGUAACAAGUCAUACAGCCACGAGAUAAUUGUGAAGGAACUUCCUGCUUUCUGGCAGGACUGUCUGCAGUCUUUGUUACAGCAGCUCACAGCUGGAAUCACAAGUGUGAAGUGCAUACUCAAAAGUCAGAUCCCUCAUCUUACCUGGGGUGUUGAAA